GAGGUACAGGGAAUUCCCGGUGGAGCGGUGAAAUGCGUAGAUAUCGGGAGGAACACCAAUAUGGCGAAGGCACUGUACUGGGCUUUUCCUGACGCUGAGAGACGAAAGCUAAAGGAGUGAUUAGGAUUAGAUACCCUAGUAAUUUUAGCCGUAAACGAUGGAAACUCACUGCCGAGCGAAAUACAACGAGCGGUGGUCAAGCUAACGCGUGAAGUUUCCCGCCUGGGGAUUACGCUUGCAAAAGUGAAACUCAAAGGAAUUGACGGGACCCCGCACAAGCGGCGGAGCAUGCGGCUUAAUUCGAUGAUACCCGUAGAACCUUACCUGGACUUGACAUAUAGGGUCAAGCUAUAGAGAUAUAGUGUGCAUUAGCGCCCUAUACAGGUGGUGCAUGGCU
rnacentral:rRNA from 1 species